rnacentral:sRNA from 1 species
UUCGCUAGGUGGGAGGUUCUUAAAAGCUUAAAGUUUUGCCUAUAUUAUAAAAACUCCUUUUGAUUUGUCAGCACUGGCUCGCGGUCUGGCACCUGCAAACGGCAACAAAUCAAAAG